AGAGUUUGAUCCUGGCUCAGGAUGAACGCUAGCUACAGGCUUAACACAUGCAAGUCGAGGGGAAACGAUAGAGAAAGCUUGCUUUUUCUAGGCGUCGACCGGCGCACGGGUGAGUAACGCGUAUCCAACCUGCCCAUCACUUGGGGAUAACCUUGCGAAAGUAAGACUAAUACCCAAUGAUAUCUCAAGAAGACAUCUGAAUGAGAUUAAAGAUUUAUCGGUGAUGGAUGGGGAUGCGUCUGAUUAGCUUGUUGGCGGGGUAACGGCCCACCAAGGCGACGAUCAGUAGGGGUUCUGAGAGGAAGGUCCCCCACAUUGGAACUGAGACACGGUCCAAACUCCUACGGGAGGCAGCAGUGAGGAAUAUUGGUCAAUGGGCGAGAGCCUGAACCAGCCAAGUAGCGUGCAGGAUGACGGCCCUAUGGGUUGUAAACUGCUUUUAUAAGGGAAUAAAGUGAGCCUCGUGAGGCUUUUUGCAUGUAUCUUAUGAAUAAGGACCGGCUAAUUCCGUGCCAGCAGCCGCGGUAAUACGGAAGGUCCGGGCGUUAUCCGGAUUUAUUGGGUUUAAAGGGAGCGUAGGCCGGAGAUUAAGCGUGUUGUGAAAUGUAGAUGCUCAACAUCUGCACUGCAGCGCGAACUGGUUUCCUUGAGUACGCACAAAGUGGGCGGAAUUCGUGGUGUAGCGGUGAAAUGCUUAGAUAUCACGAAGAACUCCGAUUGCGAAGGCAGCUCACUGGAGCGCAACUGACGCUGAAGCUCGAAAGUGCGGGUAUCGAACAGGAUUAGAUACCCUGGUAGUCCGCACGGUAAACGAUGGAUGCCCGUUGUUGGUCUGAAUAGGUCAGCGGCCAAGCGAAAGCAUUAAGCAUCCCACCUGGGGAGUACGCCGGCAACGGUGAAACUCAAAGGAAUUGACGG
rnacentral:rRNA from 1 species